UUCGCUUAUCAAUUAGUAGCAUCCCGCAACUGCUCGAUUCCUGCUUUUCAGGGGCGUCUUAUACACUAUGUUGUUUAUGUAAAAUCAAUAUUUGAUGCUUCCAUUGGUCUGCCAAUUAGUACGUAUCUCUGAUUUGCCCAACAUUUGUUUGAUUAUCGUUAGUUUGAUGUGAAUCUGUUUAUUAUUACUAACGAAAUCGAAAGCUGGAUUGUCAUACAUUUGGAGUGUAUGAGUAGUCAUAUUUUGUUAUAAAACUUUUUUUUCUAGGGAUAAAAUGAAUAUAUGGGCUCAAAUGCAAGGACAGUACAGUAGCUGAUGUAGUUUACAAAUCAAGCUGGGACUUCAUUUUCUUGCAUACCACAACAACAACAUGUUUUGCAGAACUCUAAAGGUCCCCAUGAUCUGCUUAAUAUGGAGCUUGCACAACAGUUUAGACAAGAUAUGAUCUAAGUUCUUUUGAAUAUUUUUUUGGGGCUGACUAUAUGAUGAUCUCAUGGCUCGAUUGAAUAUAGGUAAUAGUGAGAGGGUCAUAAGGGACAUGCCAGAACAGUUUUCAUGUCAAAGCGCUAAGACCCAAUGGUUGCUGCAGCUGAAUUAGUUGUAUCUAUAUGAAGAUUAUGUAAAAAUCCUUAUGAUUUUAUAACAAACGACAGUUCUGUUGACCACUGCAUUUUCUCUAAAAAUGCGAGUAAUGUCAUUUGUGGCAAGGCAAGUACCCAAUGAAGUUUGCAUUUCUUUUUUUGAGUCCCAAGUGUUCGAUCAAAAGCCACAAUGAAGUUUGCAUUUCUUUUUUACAUUUUUUAAACUAUUUCAUCUUAAUGUUGAAGAUGGAUCUCUAAAAGUUCAAAGAAGAGGUCUUUUGAUGCACACGUAUCCGUGAGAGGGUACUUUAAAGUUGUUAGCUUUACAAUUAACUUCUAUAAAAGCUUAUAUGCAAUAUUUUGCUAUAUUUUUUCUAGGUACACAAGUUUGUAGGAUUGAAAGAACUAUAUUAUGUUGGUUGCCACAGGCUGCACACAAUGGGCUUGUUCAUCAGGCAGCCGAUCGGUGACAGUUUUUGGGCCGAUGGUUUAAUAUUACGGAUUUUGGAGGUGUUGGUGAUGGUAUUAGGAUGAAUACAACCAUCAGGAUGGAGUCAUUUUGCUCAAUUCACAAUAAUUGUGGUGAAUAAAGACCCCAAGAAAUCAAAAUAUUCUGAUACGUUACAUCGCUUCUGGAAGAAAGAGCAUGACUGGGGAUGGAAAAAGUUCAUGGAAUUAUCCAAAGUGUUAGACGGGCUUAUCGAUGUCGACACGCUCAUAAUAAAAGCUCAAGUCCAAGUUAUCAGGUUUUUAGGUACUUUAAUGAUCUAACGUAAAUUCAUCCAUAAUGUAUCUUAUUUUGUCGAUAUCUAUUUUGAUUGGUGCGUGUUCGAGCAAUUAAUGUUUGAUACUUUGAUUUCUUACGGAAAUAGAAUAAUAGCUGGUCUAACAAAUUCGGCGUAAAACGGUUAGAUUAUUUAAGACUAAUUGUACUUGAAUAGGAUAUAUUAACUCAAUAUAGCCAUAUUAAGUUAUUGCACUCGUGUGAUAAUACUACAUACACUUGAAUAGGAUAUAUUAACUCAAUAUUGUUGUUUGCCAAGAAAAGUUUAUCAUUUUGCUUCGUCUCCUCAAGUACCCGUCCACCGUAGUUAAUUAAAAAAUCGACCCAAGUCUCACAGUGGUUCAAACUUACUAGAGGUGGCAAUUGUGUCCUGUUUAAUUAUGAAUGUACUUGCAACCUACAGAAACCAAGGUAACGUACAAGCAAAUACAAUUUUGUGAAUGUAUUUCUCUUCUUUAAUGUAUAUUCAUUAAUGGCUGUGUAAUCCUAUAAAGGUGUUUAUGAUCUAUUGGGACGAACGAAAGAUCAAAU
rnacentral:lncRNA from 1 species